rnacentral:lncRNA from 1 species
UAAUAUAACAAAUUUAAAGAAUAAUAAACUCGAUCAUAAUAGACUGAUACAAUAAAAACUGUUUUAAGCCUAAGAAAAAUUUAAAUCUGAUUUCCAGAUUUUUUGGCUUUUGAAUUCUACCAAAUCUCUAAUCUCAGACACUGACAAAAGACAAAAAAUGAAAAAAAAAAUCUCACAAGGAUAUCUUAGAAGAGAAUAAAACUCCUAUUAAUAAAAUUUAGGGAAAAAGAAUCUCUCAAUAGGAAAUCUUGGGAGAGAAUUUAUUCAAACAAAAAAUUAAAAUUAGGAAAAUGACCCUCUAAUAGAGAAAUACCAGAUUAUGUGUGAAAAGGUGAAUUCUGGUUUCUUGAGUUGGUUGAGCGGCUAGGGUGUUCUCCCGCUGUAGGUCACGGCUUUAUGGAAAUCACUUGUUCAAGUUAUGGAGACGGGGCUGUGUCCCCCAAUCCUCCUCCAACGAUCUAGUCAGUUGAAAUAAGGAGGGGAACGAAUGGAGUUCUUUAGAGAGUGAUUCUUACAGAAUAUGUUGUGUGUCCAUCUGAGUGAGAGAUUCCGAUAUUUAUAUGGGACAACUUGGAGGGAAGGAUAGUGAGAUCCAAGUUCCUAGGAUCCAACAGAAUGAGCGUAUCAGUCUGAUUUGAUAGAUCUGCACCAGGGACAAGUCUCAUCAGAUGUCCUGUCCUUCUGCGGGUGUCAGGGUCUUAGACUGGAUCUCCGAGGUCACGUCAAGAGCAGUGCCAUUGAGGACUAUGGCUGAGGAGGUCACUUUGGUCAUCCGUUGGCAGGGUGCAUCCGAGGUGACCAAAACGGAUGGGGAUAGCCCAUGGGAUGAGGGGGUCAUCUCGACACGUGUCGAGAUGACCAUUAUCAGAAACUACUGUGAGUCUGUCCCCUGCCUAGCCGGGAUGACCACCCUCAAUGUGCAAUCUCCCACGAGGGAGUCAAAUGAGAUUUUGGUUAAAAGAAUUUUAGAGAGAAGGAAGAGAGAAUGAGGUCUAGAA